rnacentral:rRNA from 1 species
CAGGCUUAACACAUGCAAGUCGAGGGGCAGCAUUUCAGUUUGCUUGCAAACUGGAGAUGGCGACCGGCGCACGGGUGAGUAACACGUAUCCAACCUGCCGAUAACUCGGGGAUAGCCUUUCGAAAGAAAGAUUAAUACCCGAUGGCAUAAUUAGACCGCAUGGUCUUAUUAUUAAAGAAUUUCGGUUAUCGAUGGGGAUGCGUUCCAUUAGGCAGUUGGUGAGGUAACGGCUCACCAAACCUUCGAUGGAUAGGGGUUCUGAGAGGAAGGUCCCCCACAUUGGAACUGAGACACGGUCCAAACUCCUACGGGAGGCAGCAGUGAGGAAUAUUGGUCAAUGGGCGCAGGCCUGAACCAGCCAAGUAGCGUGAAGGAUGACUGCCCUAUGGGUUGUAAACUUCUUUUAUAUGGGAAUAAAGUUUUCCACGUGUGGAAUUUUGUAUGUACCAUAUGAAUAAGGAUCGGCUAACUCCGUGCCAGCAGCCGCGGUAAUACGGAGGAUCCGAGCGUUAUCCGGAUUUAUUGGGUUUAAAGGGAGCGUAGGUGGACAGUUAAGUCAGUUGUGAAAGUUUGCGGCUCAACCGUAAAAUUGCAGUUGAUACUGGCUGUCUUGAGUACAGUAGAGGUGGGCGGAAUUCGUGGUGUAGCGGUGAAAUGCUUAGAUAUCACGAAGAACUCCGAUUGCGAAGGCAGCUCACUGGACUGCAACUGACACUGAUGCUCGAAAGUGUGGGUAUCAAACAGGAUUAGAUACCCUGGUAGUCCACACAGUAAACGAUGAAUACUCGCUGUUUGCGAUAUACAGUAAGCGGCCAAGCGAAAGCAUUAAGUAUUCCACCUGGGGAGUACGCCGGCAACGGUGAAACUCAAAGGAAUUGACGGGGGCCCGCACAAGCGGAGGAACAUGUGGUUUAAUUCGAUGAUACGCGAGGAACCUUACCCGGGCUUAAAUUGCAUUUGAAUAUAUUGGAAACAGUAUAGCCGUAAGGCAAAUGUGAAGGUGCUGCAUGGUUGUCGUCAGCUCGUGCCGUGAGGUGUCGGCUUAAGUGCCAUAACGAGCGCAACCCUUAUCUUUAGUUACUAACAGGUCAUGCUGAGGACUCUAGAGAGACUGCCGUCGUAAGAUGUGAGGAAGGUGGGGAUGACGUCAAAUCAGCACGGCCCUUACGUCCGGGGCUACACACGUGUUACAAUGGGGGGUACAGAAGGCAGCUACCUGGUGACAGGAUGCUAAUCCCAAAAGCCUCUCUCAGUUCGGAUCGAAGUCUGCAACCCGACUUCGUGAAGCUGGAUUCGCUAGUAAUCGCGCAUCAGCCAUGGCGCGGUGAAUACGUUCCCGGGCCUUGUACACACCGCCCGUCAAGCCAUGAAAGCCGGGGGUACCUGAAGUACGUAACCGCAAGGAGCGUCCUAGGGUAAAACUGGUAAUUGG